rnacentral:rRNA from 1 species
UAAAGUUGUUGCAGUUAAAGAGCUCGUAGUUGCAUUUCGGGGUUAGUAGGUUGGUCGUGCCACUGGUAUGUACUAGCUUUACUGAUUCCUCCUUCUUGCAGAACCGUAAUGCCAUUAAUUUGGUGUUGCGGGGAAACAGGACUGUUACUUUGAAAAAAUUAGAGUGUUUAAAGCAGGCUAACGCUUGAAUACAUUAGCAUGGAAUAAUGAAAUAGGACGUUCGAUCCUAUUUUGUUGGUUUCUAGGAUUGACGUAAUGAUUAAUAGGG